rnacentral:rRNA from 1 species
AUUGAACGCUGGCGGCAGGCCUAACACAUGCAAGUCGAGCGAGCGGCGGACGGGUGAGUAAUGUAUGGGGACUGCCCGAUAGAGGGGGAUAACACCUGGAAACGGUGUCUAUAACCGCAUACUCUCGGAGAACCCAUAUGGGAUUAGCUAGUGGGUAUGGUAAUGGCUUACCUAGGCGACGAUCCCUAGCUGGUCUGAGAGGAUGAGCAGCCACACUGGGACUGAGACACGGCCCAGACUCCUACGGAGGCAGCAGUGGGGAAUAUUGCACAAUGGGCGCAAGCCUGAUGCAGCCAUGCCGCGUGUAUGAAGAAGGCCCUAGGGUUGUAAAGUACUUUCAGUCGGGAGGCGUUACCGACAGAAGAAGCACCGGCUAACUCCGUGCCAGCAGCCGCGGUAAUUC